UGACGUUAGCGACAGAAGAAGCACCGGCUAACUCCGUGCCAGCAGCCGCGGUAAUACGGAGGGUGCGAGCGUUAAUCGGAAUUACUGGGCGUAAAGCGCAUGCAGGUGGUGGAUUAAGUCAGAUGUGAAAGCCCGGGGCUCAACCUCGGAACCGCAUUUGAAACUGGUUCACUAGAGUACUGUAGAGGGGGGUAGAAUUUCAGGUGUAGCGGUGAAAUGCGUAGAGAUCUGAAGGAAUACCGGUGGCGAAGGCGGCCCCCUGGACAGAUACUGACACUCAGAUGCGAAAGCGUGGGGAGCAAACAGGAUUAGAUACCCUGGUAGUCCACGCCGUAAACGAUGUCUACUUGGAGGUUGUGGCCUUGAGCCGUGGCUUUCGGAGCUAACGCGUUAAGUAGACCGCCUGGGGAGUACGGUCGCAAGAUUAAAACUCAAAUGAAUUGACGGGGGCCCGCACAAGCGGUGGAGCAUGUGGUUUAAUUCGAUGCAACGCGAAGAACCUUACCUACUCUUGACAUC
rnacentral:rRNA from 1 species